AGUCAAGCUGUGAUGAAAACUCCUCUCGUAAAUGUCGCAUUUUGGCAAUACCCCUUAUUUUCCGUCCAAAAGUAUUCAGUUUUAGUCGGCUUAGUCAGUGUAUCCUUGAUCUUGUGUCUUUGCUAUAGAAACAUUGAUAUAUUGGAGGCCUGUUUCUUGGAAGCUACCUGGCUUGGUUUUCUUUUCGGCGCCUUGAAGCUCAGUGGGUCUCAGUGGCUCCAGCGAGAUUCCAGCGCCAUAUAAGCACCAUCUGCGCAUGGUUGAUAUUCAUAGUUGGCGCACGUCCAUCACUCGAAUGGAGCUUCAGGUGUAGUGCUUACUUUUAUUUUCUCUUUUUGUUUGACACUUGCAACGGGUAUGCACUUUUCGCCAAUCAAAGUUGAAGGAGAUGUUGGUAAAGAGUUUUCAAAUUGCAUUAUAAAUAUUUGAUGAAAUCAUUAAUUACGCUUAUCAGCGAAACGUUUAUUCAAAGUGAAAUUUGUGUACAUUUUUAUUAAUAGAAAAACAAAUUUAUAAAUUAAAAGCCCAUUUAGUUAUUCUAAAAUGCAAAAAAUGGUAAGUUAGUUUGCAUAGUUAGGAACUAAACUUUCUUUAAUCAUACUACCCCAGGGUAUUUCCGCUACGCGUUGUGGAUUCAGAUUUUGUUUGAUCAACAAAAUGUUUUCCAUUUUCCCCCACAUUUCUCCCCUUUUUCCUCUUCAGCUCUUUGCCGUUUGAAGUUGUUUCUUAAUUCAAUUCAUUUUAUGCGUGAAAACUCGUUAAACGCCAAAGCUGCCCAGUCAGACUGACCCAUCUGACCAAUCGGAGUGGCAGAUGUGGAGAGGAGUUUGGAGUGGCCAAAGAGCAGUCGGAACAGUUAGCUCAGCAGGGGGAAUGGGAAUCGCAGCCGGAGAAAGACUUUCCCGCUCUUUCUCCGGAGGGGCUUUACGCUCGGCUUGGCCAAGAGUCGCGAGAGCCAAGAGAUUUCGGUUUUCACUCCGCUCAGUUGGUCUUCUUGGUCUUGGUUUUAACUUGGCUUAAAGCCGCUCUGCGGCUCUGCCACUCUGCUCUGCUCUCUGUUCUGCUCGGCUGCGAGUGAAAUGGCCAGUUGGCUCUUUUCCAUUUUGACCAGAUUGCGUUGGCCAGUUUCAGCCAAGACAGUUUUCAGUUUUAAGCUUUUAGUUUUCAGUCGUUAGUUGUUACGAAUGUGCGGUAACGGCACCACGCAGCGCGCUCUCGUAUCGAAUUCUUUUGGCCUUUUUGCCGCCUUUGAAUUGACCAAGUUUAAGCUUCGAUAGCUUCAUCUUUUUGUGUUUUUUAUUUUUUUAUUUGUGCUCUGUUGUGCUAAAAUGCUUUUCCCAUGGGCCAAUACAAAACAAAGCUGGCCCGGACUGACCCAGAAAAUAGCGUAAACAAAUAGAUAACUCAUUUAUAUAUAUAUAUAUAUA